CCCACAACGGUCCUGCCAACUCUGAAUCAUCGGACUGGCUGUUCUCCAUAACCGAUUCGGGGAAACAUGCCUGUGCAAAAUAAGCCGUGAAACAAUAAGGACGAGGUUUUCAGAGGCCCAGAUGGAGCCCCGGGGUACAACCACGUGGUCAGGCUGGUGAGGUACCUGGUGGGGCUGUGCCAUGAGCCCUGUGUCUGAGAGAGUCACAUUACCAGAAUUGUCUCUCUCUGGAACAACCUGCCGGAGAGAGACAGGCAGCGUGUCUCCUACCCACCGAGGCACAGGGAGUGGCUCCUUCAGGGCAGGUUCAAGGCCAGCCACUCAAAAACAUCAGUGUGUGCAGGGAAGGAAAGCCUGAAGUGCUGUCUACUGGGCCAAGGCACCGGGCCUGCACAGUGGCCUCACUUGAGCUGACUCGUGGAGGUCAUCUGCUUGGAGCUCUGCUCUCUGUGAGGCUGAACCACUGGGCUGCUGUCCUGCAGGACUACAGCAGUAUCAGAUGGCUGGUCCUGAGCAGCCCGGGGCUCAUGCAGACCACAUCACUGCAGCUUUUCUAAAUAAACCAGUGUAUACUGUCUGUUUGGUAAGUGUGUUCAGCCAACAUUUGGGAUCAGCUGAACUGAGGGAUUUUUUUUUUACGGCUUAAUGAUAAAUGCUGACUGAGGUUAUUUUAAAAAUAUUUUGUUUCUCGUAAGCAUAACGAACGUGCUGUGCUGUCCAUGGUCAUCCCUCUCCCCAACCCCAGCCUGACAUCAGCCGCCCCUCUACCUCAGCCCAAGCAAAAGGAGCAAGAGCCUGCAGAAACCCAUUCUGACCUGAGGCCGUUCACCUUUUCCUCCCCUCCAGACCUGUCUGGGCAGCAAGCUGCCGCUACUCCUACUCCACAACCCCA